rnacentral:tRNA from 1 species
GGGGCGAGUAGCAUAAAGGCAAAUGCUGGUGACGGAAUCGAUGAAUUGGGGUUCGAGUCCCCGCCGCCCCA